CUGAGUGGUCUGGAACUCUCUGUGGUCUGGAACUCUCUGAGUGGUCUGGAACUCUCUGUGGUCUGGAACUCUCUGAGUGGUCUGGAACUCUCUGUGGUCUGGAACUCUCUGUGUGGUCUGGGAACUCUCUGAGUGGUCUGGGAACUCUCUGAGUGGUCUGGAACUCUCUGUGUGGUCUGGAACUCUCUGUGGUCUGGAACUCUCUGUGGUCUGGAACUCUCUGAGUGGUCUGGAACUCUCUGAGUGGUCUGGAACUCUCUGAGUGGUCUGGAACUCUCUGAGUGGUCUGGAACUCUCUGAGUGGUCUGGAACUCUCUGAGUGGUCUGGAACUCUCUGUGGUCUGGAACUCUCUGUGGUCUGGAACUCUCUGAGUGGUCUGGGAACUCUCUGAGUGGUCUGGGAACUCUCUGAGUGGUCUGGGAACUCUCUGUGGUCUGGGAGCUCUCUGAGUGGUCUGGGAACUCUCUGAGUGGUCUGGGAGCUCUCUGAGUGGUCUGGGAGCUCUCUGAGUGGUCUGGGAGCUCUCUGAGUGGUCUGGGAGCUCUCUGAGUGGUCUGGGAGCUCUCUGAGUGGUCUGGAACUCUCUGACUGGAACUCUCUGAGUGGUCUGGAACUCUCUGAGUGGUCUGGAACUCUCUGUGGUCUGGAACUCUCUGAGUGGUCUGGGAACUCUCUGUGUGGUCUGGGAACUCUCUGAGUGGUCUGGGAACUCUCUGAGUGCGGGCACAUGUCUAGUGGUUAAGCGUGUUGGGCCAGUAACCGAAAAGUCACUGGUUCGAAUUCCAGUGAAAGAUCUGUUGAUGUGCCCUUUAGCAAGGCACUUAACCCUGAUUGCUCCUGUAAGGUGCUCUGGAUAAGAGCGUCAGCUAAAUGACUCAAAUGUUAAAUGUAAAUGUGUCUCUUCAGCACAGCCUCCCUGUUGAGCCAAGUGGGGGCUAUAUGUCUCUUCAGCACAGCCUCCCUGUGGAGUCAAGUGGAGGCUAUGUGUCUCUUCAGCACAGCCUCCCUGUGGAGCCAAGUGGAGGCUAUAUGUCUCUUCAGCACAGCCUCCCUGUGGAGCCAAGUGGAGACUAUGUGUCUCUUCAGCACAGCCUCCCUGUGGAGCCAAGUGGAGGCUAUGUGUCUCUUCAGCACAGCCUCCCUGUGGAGCCAAGUGGAGGCUAUAUGUCUCUUCAGCACAGCCUCCCUGUGGAGCCAAGUGGAGACUAUGUGUCUCUUCAGCACAGCCUCCCUGUGGAGCCAAGUGGAGGCUAUAUGUCUCUUCAGCACAGCCUCCCUGUGGAGCCAAGUGGAGGCUAUGUGUCUCUUCAGCACAGGCUCCCUGUGGAGCCAAGUGGAGGCUAUAUGUCUCUUCAGCACAGCCUCCCUGUGGAGCCAAGUGGAGGCUAUGUGGCUCUUCAGCACAGCCUCCCUGUGGAGCCAAGUGGAGGCUAAUUGCUAGUAGAUGAGGUUGAUGGGCACAUGUAAGAUGAGGGCCAUGAGGACAGCUCUCAAUAGCAGUGAAAGUGAGGAAUUCACCUACACAUGGAACCAGGAGAAGCACAUUCUUGACAAAUGCACUCAAACUGCCAAAGAGUGGCUGGUCUGAGAAGAAAUGACUUGCUGUCUUCCUGAAGCCCUGUGUGUGCUGUCCUGUAGCUGAGAGCAAAUAAAAGCAAAGUGCAGCACUAUCCAUUGGAGAUUAUGACAGCAGCAUAUACUGUAGGCCUAUAUCAUAUUACCCUGACCAUACACUCAGCCAUUCUCUCUCAGAACUGAUCAAUAUUGUGAUCUAAAGCCAACGUUGACUCUCCCGAGUGGCGCAGCGGUCUAAUGCACUGAAUCACAUUGCUUGAGGCGUCACUACAGACCCGAGUUCGAUGCCAGGCUGG
rnacentral:lncRNA from 1 species